rnacentral:rRNA from 1 species
AGGGUGAAAGCCCCGUACACGAAAGGCCAUUUUAAAUGAAAUCGAGUAGGUCGGGACACGAGAAAUCUUGACUGAACCGUCUUCGGACAAGGGGGGACCAUCCUCCAAGGCUAAAUACUCCUGACUGACCGAUAGUGAACCAGUACCGUGAGGGAAAGGCGAAAAGAACCCCUUUGAGGGGAGUGAAAUAGACCCUGAAACCGUGUACGUACAAGCAGUGGGAGCCCCGCUACUUAAUCAUUCUGGGAGCUUUAUGUAUUACUUUUAUGUUUUACAAAAUGAACAAGGUGAUUUUUAUAUGGGUUAUAGCUCUGAUCUUAAAUAAAGAUUGAGAGAUCAUAACUCUGGUAGAAAUUCUUCUACGAAAUUACAUUCGUGGAACGUUGUUUAUUACGAAGCUUACUUAAGUGAGAAAGUAGCAAGAGAUCGUGAGCGAAAAUUAAAAGCACAUGGUCGAUCAUGGCAGCUACUUCUAGAACGCAUUAAAGCACAGUUCUAGUGUGAUUAAGUAGCGGGGUGACUGCGUACCUUUUGUAUAAUGGGUCAGCGACUUACAUUCUGUGGCAAGGUUAACCGUAUAGGGUAGCCGUAGGGAAACCGAGUCUUAAUAGGGCGAAGAAGUCUUUAACGAGACAAAGAGUCGCGGGGUGUAGACCCGAAACCGAGCGAUCUAGCCAUGAGCAGGUUGAAGAUCAGGUAACACUGAUUGGAGGACCGAACCCACCUAUGUUGAAAAAUGGGGGGAUGACUUGUGGCUAGGAGUGAAAGGCUAAUCAAGCUCGGAGAUAGCUGGUUCUCCUCGAAAGCUAUUUAGGUAGCGCCUCGUGUAUCACCAUUGGGGGUAGAGCACUGUUUGGGCUAGGGGGUCAUCCCGACUUACCAACCCCAUACAAACUCCGAAUACCAAUGAGUGCAAUCACGGGAGACACACGGCGGGUGCUAACGUCCGUCGUGGAAAGGGAAACAACCCAGACCGUCAGCUAAGGUCCCAAAGUAACAGUUAAGUGGGAAACGAUGUGAGAAGGCCCAGACAGCCAGGAGGUUGGCUUAGAAGCAGCCAUCCUUUAAAGAAAGCGUAAUAGCUCACUGGUCGAGUCGGCUCGCGCGGAAGAUGUAACGGGGCUCAAACUGUUCACCGAAGCUACGGGUUUCAGUGGUCAGUUUUCAGUUGUCAGUUAGCAGUAUGAGAAGCAAAACAUGCAGGGAUUUGAACAAUUAGAGGUAUUUCAGCGUGCUUGUAAGCUUUCUUUGAAAGUUCAUAAGUUGACGUUGCAGUUUCCGAAGAUUGAGCAAAUGCGUGGUCUUGCUGAUCAAAUGCGCAGAGCCAGUAAAGGUAUCUGUGCAAAUAUUGCUGAAGGACACGGAAAACGGGUCAUCUCAAAAGCAGAGUUCCGAAGGUUCAUAUUAAUGGCCGUUGGAUCAUCUGAUGAAAUGAGAGUUUGGUUAAGAGACUCCCUUGACCUCGAUUAUAUUGAGGAAAACCAAUGGGAGCAUUUAAAAACCGAAUACAGUCAGAUCAGUAAAAUGUUGAUGGGUUUGCACAAGAGUUAUCAAUAACUCAAAGCAAAACUGACCACCGACAACUGAAAACUGACCACUGAGGCGGUAGAGGAGCGUCCUGUAAGCCGUUGAAGGUCAAGCCGGGAGGCAGGCUGGAGGUAUCAGGAGUGCGAAUGCUGACAUGAGUAACGAUAAAGGGGGUGAGAGGCCCCCUCGCCGGAAGACCAAGGUUUCCUGCGCAACGCUAAUCGGCGCAGGGUGAGUCGGCCCCUAAGGUGAGGUCGAAAGACGUAAUCGAUGGGAAACGGAUUAAUAUUUCCGUACCCCUUUUGACUGCGACGGAGUGACGGAGAAGGCUAGGCCAGCAGGGCGAUGGUUGUCCUUGUUUAAGGUCGUAGGCUGAGGGUUCAGGCAAAUCCGGACCCUCAAAGCUGAGAACCGAUGACGACUGAUCUUUUUAGAUCGGGAAGUGGUCGAUGCCAAGCUUCCAGGAAAAACUUCUAAGCUUCAGGUCAAAAGGGACCGUACCCCAAACCGACACAGGUGGUCAGGUAGAGAAUACCCAGGCGCUUGAGAGAACUCGGGUGAAGGAACUAGGCAAAAUGGUACCGUAACUUCGGGAGAAGGUACGCUCCUGCCGGUGAUGGGACUUGCUCCCUAAGCUGGCGGGAGUCGCAGAGACCAGUUGGCUGCGACUGUUUAUUAAAAACACAGCACUCUGCAAACACGAAAGUGGACGUAUAGGGUGUGACGCCUGCCCGGUGCCGGAAGGUUAAUUGAUGGGGUUAUCUUCGGAGAAGCUCUUGAUCGAAGCCCCGGUAAACGGCGGCCGUAACUAUAACGGUCCUAAGGUAGCGAAAUUCCUUGUCGGGUAAGUUCCGACCUGCACGAAUGGCGUAACGAUGGCCAAGCUGUCUCCACCCGAGACUCAGUGAAAUUGAAAUCGCUGUUAAGAUGCAGUGUAUCCGCGGCUAGACGGAAAGACCCCGUGAACCUUUACUAUAGCUUCACAGUGGAUCUUGAUGUUGCUUGUGUAGGAUAGGUGGGAGGCUUUGAAGCAUGGACGCCAGUCUGUGUGGAGCCAACCUUGAAAUACCACCCUGGCAACAUUGAGGUUCUAACCCAGGUCCUUUAUCAGGAUCGGGGACAUUGUGUGGUGGGUAGUUUGACUGGGGCGGUCUCCUCCCAAAGAGUAACGGAGGAGCACGAAGGUGCGCUAAGUACGGUCGGACAUCGUACGGUUAGUGUAAAGGCACAAGCGCGCUUGACUGCGAGACGGACAGGUCGAGCAGGUACGAAAGUAGGUCUUAGUGAUCCGGUGGUUCUGUAUGGAAGGGCCAUCGCUCAACGGAUAAAAGGUACUCCGGGGAUAACAGGCUGAUACCGCCCAAGAGUUCACUGAAGCCGGUCCCAAGGGUAUGGCUGUUCGCCAUUUAAAGUGGUACGCGAGCUGGGUUUAGAACGUCGUGAGACAGUUCGGUCCCUAUCUGCCGUGGACGUUGGACGUUUGAGAAGAGCUGCUCCUAGUACGAGAGGACCGGAGUGGACGAACCACUGGUGUUCGGGUUGUGUCGCCAGACGCAUUGCCCGGUAGCUACGUUCGGACGGGAUAACCGCUGAAAGCAUCUAAGCGGGAAGCCCCCUUCAAGAUGAGACGUCCCUGACUCCUUGAGAGUCCUGAAGAGCCGUCAAAGACUAUGACGUUGAUAGGCUGGGUGUGUAAGCGCUGUGAGGCGUUGAGCUAACCAGUACUAAUGACUCGUGCGGCUUGAUCAU